AUUGAACGCUGGCGGCAUGCUUUACACAUGCAAGUCGAACGGUAACAGGCCGCAAGGUUCUGACGAGUGGCGAACGGGUGGGUAAUGCAUCGGAACGUGCCCAGUCGUGGGGGAUAACUACUCGAAAGAGUAGCUAAUACCGCAUACGAGCUAUGGAUGAAAGCGGGGGACCGUAAGGCCUCGCGCGAUUGGAGCGGCCGAUGUCAGAUUAGGUAGUUGGUGGGGUAAAGGCGCACCAAGCCAACGAUCUGUAGCUGGUCUGAGAGGACAACCAGCCACACUGGGACUGAGACACGGCGAAGACUCCUACGGGAGGCAGCAGUGGGGAAUUUUGGACAAUGGGCGCAAGCCUGAUCCAGCAAUGCCGCGUGCAGGAAGAAGGCCUUCGGGUUGUAAACUGCUUUUGUACGGAAAGAAACGGCUCUGGUUAAUACACGGGGAUAAUGACGGUAACGUAAGAAUAAGCAACGGCUAACUACGUG
rnacentral:rRNA from 1 species